UACGAAGGGGGCGAGCGUUGUUCGGAUUUACUGGGCGUAAAGGGCGCGCAGGCGGUCACUUUUGUCGAGUGUGAAAGCCCCGGGCUUAACCUGGGAACUGCGCUCGAAACGGGAUGACUAGAGAUCGGGAGAGGAGAGUGGAAUUCCCAGUGUAGAGGUGAAAUUCGUAGAUAUUGGGAAGAACACCGGUGGCGAAGGCGGCUCUCUGGACCGAGACUGACGCUGAGGCGCGAAAGCGUGGGGAGCAAACAGG
rnacentral:rRNA from 1 species